AAAAGAAAAUUUGAUUUUAAAAAAAUUUAAUUUUUAAACUAGGAUUAGAUACCCUAUUAUUUUAAGCUUAAUGUUGGUAGUAAGUAAAAAUUAUGAAAUCAUAAAAUUUUGGCGGUAUUUUAAGCUUGUUAGAGGAAUUUGCUCUAUAAUGGAUACAACGCCUAUAUCUUACUUAAUUUUGUAAUUAAAGUCAGUUUGUAUACCACUAUAUUUAAUUAUAUUGAAUAAUUAUAUUUAAGAUUUUUAUACAAAUAUAUAUUAAGUCAAGGUGCAACAAAUAAUUA
rnacentral:rRNA from 1 species